rnacentral:rRNA from 1 species
UUUAGUCUCUCAUAUUAAAAGUAAAUCCUGCCCAGUGAAUAUUUAAACGGCCGCGGUAUCCUAACCGUGCAAAGGUAGCAUAAUCAUUUGCCUUAUAAUUCAAGGCUAGUAUGAACGGAUAAACGAAAUUCCUUCUGUAUCAUUAUUAUUUCUAAAAAUUAUAUUUCAAGUGAAGAUACUUGAAUUUUUUUGAAAGACAAGAAGACCCUAUAGAGUUUUAGUAGAUCUAUCCCCCUCCAAAUAUACUACUUUAGUUGGGGCGACUAAGGAUAAACUAAAUCAUCCUCAAUCCUUUUAGAAUUAUUAUUCAUUUAUAACGAUCCUACCUUUUAGAUUGAAAAACUUAACUACCUUAGGGAUAACAGGCUUAUCUUUCUAUCAAGUCCAAAUUAACAGAAAGGAUUGGCACCUCGAUGUUGGCUUAGAGUAACCUAUUAAUGUAGCAGUUAAAAAUCGGUUAGUUUGUUCAACUAUUAAUUCUCUACGUGAUCUG